ACUCAAAUAUUCCAUUAGUUAAAGUUGUUUUUUUAAUCACUGAUUGUAAACUACAUUGGCACAAUCAUCAGAGAUGGAGCAGUCAGAAGUAGUUAUGUGUGUAAAUGCAAUGCAAAACAUUGGUAUUUGUUUCCAUCACUUUUAGGCGCUCCGUAGAGCACUAGUAAUCCAG